ACAACCAGCUGUCUAGGUCUGAAAGAUCAACAACCAGCUGUCUAGGUCUGAUCCCCUCAACAACCGGCUGUCUAGGUCUGAUCCCCUCAACAACCGGCUGUCUAGGUCUGAUCCCCUCAACAACCGGCUGUCUAGGUCUGAUCCCCUCAACAACCGGCUGUCUAGGUCCGAUCCCCUCAACAACCGGCUGUCUAGGUCCGAUCCCCUCAACAACCGGCUGUCUAGGUCCGAUCCCCUCAACAACCGGCUGUCUAGGUCCGAUCCCCUCAACAACCGGCUGUCUAGGUCCGAUCCCCUCAACAACCGGCUGUCUAGGUCCGAUCCCCUCAACAACCGGCUGUCUAGGUCCGAUCCCCUCAACAACCGGCUGUCUAGGUCCGAUCCCCUCAACAACCGGCUGUCUAGGUCCGAUCCCCUCAACAACCGGCUGUCUAGGUCCGAUCCCCUCAACAACCGGCUGUCUAGGUCCGAUCCCCUCAACAACCGGCUGUCUAGGUCCGAUCCCCUCAACAACCGGCUGUCUAGGUCCGAUCCCCUCAACAACCGGCUGUCUAGGUCCGAUCCCCUCAACAACCGGCUGUCUAGGUCCGAUCCCCUCAACAACCGGCUGUCUAGGUCCGAUCCCCUCAACAACCAGCUGUCUAGGUCCGA